rnacentral:rRNA from 1 species
GUAGUCAUAUGCUUGUCUCAAAGAUUAAGCCAUGCAUGUCUAAGUAUAAACAAAUUCAUACUGUGAAACUGCGAAUGGCUCAUUAAAUCAGUUAUAGUUUAUUUGAUGGUAUCUUGCUACAUGGAUAACUGUGGUAAUUCUAGAGCUAAUACAUGCUGAAAAGCCCCGACUUCUGGAAGGGGUGUAUUUAUUAGAUUAAAAACCAAUGCCCCUCGGGGCUCUCUGGUGAAUCAUGAUAACUAGUCGAAUCGACAGGCCUUGUGCCGGCGAUGGCUCAUUCAAAUUUCUUCCCUAUCAACUUUCGAUGUUUGGGUAUUGGCCAAACAUGGUGGCAACGGGUAACGGGGAAU